UACGGAGGGUGCAAGCGUUAUCCGGAUUCACUGGGUUUAAAGGGUGCGUAGGUGGGUAGGUAAGCCAGCGGUGAAAUCCCCGAGCUUAACUUGGGAACUGCCAUUGAUACUAUCUGUCUUGAAUACCUUGGAGGUGAGCGGAAUAUGUCAUGUAGCGGUGAAAUGCUUAGAUAUGACAUAGAACACCAAUUGCGAAGGCAGCUCACUACACGGUCAUUGACACUGAGGCACGAAAGCGUGGGGAUCAAACAGG
rnacentral:rRNA from 1 species